CCUACGGGACGCAGCAGUGGGGAAUAUUGCACAAUGGGGGAAACCCUGAUGCAGCGACGCCGCGUGAGUGAAGAAGUAUUUCGGUAUGUAAAGCUCUAUCAGCAGGGAAGAAAAAAGACGGUACCUGACUAGGAAGCCCCGGCUAACUACGUGCCAGCAGCCGCGGUAAUACGUAGGGGGCAAGCGUUAUCCGGAUUUACUGGGUGUAAAGGGAGCGUAGACGGCAGUGCAAGUCCGGAGUGAAAGCCCGGGGCUCAACCCUGGGACUGCUCUGGAAACUGUAAAGCUGGAGGGCGGGAGGGGCG
rnacentral:rRNA from 1 species